GAUGAACGCUGGCGGCGUGCCUAAUACAUGCAAGUCGAGCGAACGGACGAGAAGCUUGCUUCUCUGAUGUUAGCGGCGGACGGGUGAGCAACACGUGGAUAACCUACCUAUAAGACUGGGAUAACUUCGGGAAACCGGAGCUAAUACCGGAUGAUAUUUUGAACCGCAUGGUUCAAAAGUGAAAGACGGUCUUGCUGUCACUUAUAGAUGGAUCCGCGCUGCAUUAGCUAGUUGGUAAGGUAACGGCUUACCAAGGCAACGAUGCAUAGCCGACCUGAGAGGGUGAUCGGCCACACUGGAACUGAGACACGGUCCAGACUCCUACGGGAGGCAGCAGUAGGGAAUCUUCCGCAAUGGGCGAAAGCCUGACGGAGCAACGCCGCGUGAGUGAUGAAGGUCUUCGGAUCGUAGAACUCUGUUAUUAGGGAAGAACAUAUGUGUAAGUAACUGUGCACAUCUUGACGGUACCUAAUCAGAAAGCCACGGCUAACUACGUG
rnacentral:rRNA from 1 species